UACGUAGGGGGCAAGCGUUGUCCGGAUUUAUUGGGCGUAAAGAGUUCGUAGGUGGUUUGUUAAGUCUGAUGUUAAAUACUGGAGCUCAACUUCGGGACUGCAUUGGAUACUGACAGACUUGAGUGUGGUAGAGGCAAUCGGAAUUCCAGGUGUAGCGGUGAAAUGCGUAGAUAUCUGGAAGAACACCGGUGGCGCAAGCGGAUUGCUGGGCCAUAACUGACACUGAGGAACGAAAGCUAGGGUAGCGAAUGGG
rnacentral:rRNA from 1 species